UACGGAGGGUGCAAGCGUUGUCCGGAUUUAUUGGGUUUAAAGGGUGCGUAGGCGGAUUGUUAAGUCAGUGGUGAAAGUCUACGGCUCAACCGUAGAAGUGCCAUUGAUACUGGCAGUCUUGAGUACAGUAGAGGUAGGCGGAAUUUAUGGUGUAGCGGUGAAAUGCAUAGAUACCAUAAAGAACACCUAUAGCGAAGGCAGCUUACUAUGCUGUAACUGACGCUGAGGCACGAAAGCGUGGGGAGCGAACAGGAUUAGAUACCCCUGUA
rnacentral:rRNA from 1 species